rnacentral:rRNA from 1 species
AACGAACGCUGGCGGCAUGCCUAACACAUGCAAGUCGAACGAGACCUUCGGGUCUAGUGGCGCACGGGUGCGUAACGCGUGGGAAUCUGCCCCUUGGUUCGGAAUAACAGUUAGAAAUGACUGCUAAUACCGGAUGAUGACGAAAGUCCAAAGAUUUAUCGCCGAGGGAUGAGCCCGCGUAGGAUUAGCUAGUUGGUGGGGUAAAGGCCUACCAAGGCCACGAUCGGUAGCUGGUCUGAGAGGAUGAUCAGCCACACUGGGACUGAGACACGGCCCAGACUCCUACGGGAGGCAGCAGUGGGGAAUAUUGGACAAUGGGCGCAAGCCUGAUCCAGCAAUGCCGCGUGUGUGAAGAAGGCCUGCGGGUUUGUAAAGCACUUUCAGUGGGGAAGAACAGAUUCGGGUCAAUACCCCGGAGCCCUGACGUUACCCACAGAAGAAGCACCGGCUAACUCCGUGCCAGCAGCCGCGGUUAAAGUAGUCGUG